CUAUACCUUUGUGACAUACCUAUAACUGUUGCUUCGGCGGGUAG
rnacentral:rRNA from 1 species